rnacentral:misc_RNA from 12 species
AAUCGACCAUCAUAGCUUCAAUUGUGUCAACAAAAAUCAAGAAUUGACACAAUUGAAGCUAUGAUGGUCGAUUG